AAGUAAUGGUAUCAUAUUAAAAGAAAACAAACCAGGGAGAAGAAAACCCCAGUUCUGGCAGUUUGCAUCAAGAUAUGAAGACAAAUUUCCAGAAAGUUGUGUGCACAGGGAUUGCAGAGUGAUUUGUUGUGCAAUACCAAAACUGACUAAGUGGUGCAUCUGCUGCUUUGUUCCUUCUUCAGAGCUAACAACAGGAGCAAACAGAGAUGAACUUUCAAGAAGUUGGGAGAGUCAGGUUGGCCGAGAUCUGGGCAUGCCACUCCUGUCAUGAGCUUUUUUCCCAGCUGGAGGCCUUGCUGCCUGCCCUGAGGCAGGCUCCUCACAGGGCAGUGGGGAACAGAGCACUCAGACCACCCACUCCUCUUGCCCUGCAAGCACAAAGCAAUACCACAGCAUCUUAACAGGCAGCACUGCCAGGAGCUGAGAAGGCUACCAGGAGAGAGGUCAAGGGUCUUUCUUCUGGACAUCUUCAGGCUGGAAUAUGGGUUAGAAAAAGUUUCAUCUCAAACAGUGAUUAAGAGUGGGACAGCAAUGAGAGAAACAGUGAGUUGUCAGCAACUUCAGAUGAGAUUCCUGCCCUGAGGGAAGUGCCAUUCGUCUGUUUUGCUGUAUACGGGGUCAGAGCUUAUGCUAAAAUAUUGCAAAUUGUCAGCUUUGUCUGUGGCUUUGGGAAUAUUUCAGUGGCCCUUGCUGCAUGCACUGGCAUUCUAAUGGAACUUUACGAAAGGGCUUUUUUGGUGUAAUCCGUCAACAGAUAAGCCCAGGGAGAAAGAGAAGGAGAAUUCAGUGCCUUUCCCACGAGAGGCAACAAUGAAGAUGCAUGCAUUAAGCAUCCUCCUCUCCCUUUGGUACAACCAGCAGAGCAGGGUCUCCAAGGAUCUCAUCAAGCACAGUGCUAGUUGAAUGGGUGUCCUGCCUGACAAAAACUUUUCUUAAUAAUGUUUUCACUUACAUGUAAAGAAUAAAGUUCUUAUCUUAUCCCUUCCUA